UGGGGAAUAUUGCACAAUGGGCGCAAGCCUGAUGCAGCCAUGCCGCGUGUGUGAAGAAGGCCUUCGGGUUGUAAAGCACUUUCAGCGGGGAGGAAGGCGUUAAGGUUAAUAACCUUGGCGAUUGACGUUACCCGCAGAAGAAGCACCGGCUAACUCCGUGCCAGCAGCCGCGGUAAUACGGAGGGUGCAAGCGUUAAUCGGAAUUACUGGGCGUAAAGCGCACGCAGGCGGUCUGUCAAGUCGGAUGUGAAAUCCCCGGGCUCAACCUGGGAACUGCAUUCGAAACUGGCAGGCUAGAGUCUUGUAGAGGGGGGUAGAAUGCCAUGUGUAGCGGGGAAAUGCGUAGAGAUGUGGAGGAAUACCGGUGGCGAAGGCGGCCCCCUGGACAAAGACUGACGCUCAGGUGCGAAAGCGGGGGGAGCAAACAGG
rnacentral:rRNA from 1 species